rnacentral:lncRNA from 1 species
CCUUGAUAUACCUAACAACUAGUUGGGAGUCAAUAAAGACCUUCAGAUGUUGGACCCCAGCUUCUCUUGCAACUUUGAGGCCAGCAAUCAGAGCUUCAUUCUCCGUCUCAUUGUUGGUAGUCGGAAAGUUGAAACGUAGAGCAUAUCCUGCUACAUCUCCUUCAAGAUCGAUCAAGAUAAGUCCGGCCCCUGCCACUGAUGCAUUUGAUGAGCCAUCGAUAUGCAGUGUCCAUAAUUCAUUAGGGUC